ACCCGCUGAAUUUAAGCAUAUAAGUAAGCAGUGGAUGAGAAAUGCACACGGACUCCCCCAGUAAUGGCGAAUGAAUGAGGACAGGCUCAACAUGGACAUCGGGGUGUAAAGCUCUGAAGUGUCAUUUCAAGAUGUGUCACUAAUGGAGGUACAAUAACAUGCUCUUGAAAUAUAGCAUUGGAGAGGGUGGAAAUCCUUUGUAUCAUUUGUGAACUUCAAUGCACAGUGCACAUUCUAAGAGUCAGGCUUCUUGGUCUUGGUGCGCAAAGUAGGUGGUACAUUUCAUCUGAAACUUAAUACAUGUUUGGGACCAACAGCAAAUAAGUACCAUGAGGGAAAGGUGAAACAUGACUUUGAAGAGAGAGGCAACAUUGUCUGAAGUCGCUGAGGAAGAAGUGAGGGAAACCAGCUCUGCUUUGUGAGGUUGUUGCGUUUCGAGUACUUGAUUGACACGUCUUUGCAGCCGUGACCGCAAGAUAUGAGCACGAUGUGCGCGAUGUUCCCCAUUCUGUCAAUCCAUGUCAGUAUUGUGCCCUAACGCAAUAGCAGGCACAUGGAAAACUGCAUUUGUGCAGUUGAAUGUGCUUGUCUGUAGUAUCGCAUGUAUUGUGUGGUGACAACAAAGUUCCACCUGUCCCGUCUUGAAACACGGACCAAGGAGUCUAACAUGCACGCGAGUUGAUGGGUGGCAAACCGGAUAUGCAGAGUUAAUGUGUUGGCUGGGAUUCUUUGCGCUGGCAACCAACCGCUUGACAGUGAGAGGUUUGAGUAUGAACGUGGCUGUUAGGACCCGAAAGAUGGUGAACUAUGCCUGUGAAGGGCAAGCUCAGGGGAAACUCUGAUGGAAGCCUGCAAUGAUAUUGACGUGCAAAUUGUUCGUUGUACAUGGGUAUAGGGGUGCAAGACCAAUCGAAUCAUCUAGUAGCUGGUUCCCUCUAAAGUUUCCCUCAGGACAGCUAGAGCAGAACAGCUUUCUCAGGUAAAGCGAAUGAUUAGAGGACUUGGGGGCUUGUAGUCCUUGACCUAUUCUCAAACUCUAAAUAGGGAAGGCCUAGGGGUUACUUCAAUGACCCCCUGGGACAAGUGACAACUCUAUGUGGGCCAUUUUUGGUAAGCAGAACUGGCGAUUAGGGAUGAACCUCAUGUUGGGCUCAGGUGCUUAGUUGCUUGCUCAUGAGAGACCAUAAAAGGGUGUUGGUUCAUUUAUACAGCAGGACGGUGGUCAUGGAAGUUGAAACCCGCUGAAGAGUGUGUAAUAACUCACCUGCCGAAUGAACGAGCCCCGAAAAUGGAUAGCGCUCAAACAGGUGACUGACAUCCAACCAAUGCUGCAAUCGUAUUGCACCAAUGUUUAAGGGGGCAUGGGGAUUUUGCGAUGAAGUUUGUGGCACACGCCUGGGUGAAGCAGCCCCUGAUGCAGAUCUUGGUGGUAGUAGCA
rnacentral:rRNA from 1 species